UACGUAGGCAGCAAGCGUUGUUCGGAGUUACUGGGCGUAAAGGGUGUGUAGGCGGUUCUUUUAAGUUUGGUGUGAAAUCUCCCGGCUCAACCGGGAGGGUGCGCCGAAUACUGAGGGACUAGAGUGCGGGAGAGGAAAGUGGAAUUCCUGGUGUAGCGGUGAAAUGCGUAGAUAUCAGGAGGAACACCGGUGGUGUAGACGGCUUUCUGGACCGUAACUGACGCUGAUACACGAAAGCGUGGGUAGCAAACAGG
rnacentral:rRNA from 1 species